AGCAUUCUGUACAAAUUUCGCAUUAGGCUUAUAUUUAUCCGAAAGUUGUACCACCCUGUGACAAAAUUUACGAAUGCUAAAUAUCAAAAUAAAAUUAAAUAAGUGUACAUUUCAAAAGAAUUGAUUCCGUUGAAUUAUGGGUGGAGGACGGAGAAAUUGUUGAGGAAAAGAUUGCGAGAAGAUCUUUAAGACAUUAAUUUAAUAUUAUGGCAUAAUCACAAAAUAGGCUAUCCAUGGAAGCAUUUGAUUCCGUCUUAACAAGUAUAAAUCAGGAACUAACCGUGUCUAUACGAUCCACGGCAGUAAGUCCAGCUGUAAAACUUGCUGCUACUUUAAAAUUCCUUGGCCACGGAGGCUAUCAGCAUCAAAUAGGGCAAGACCGGUUUGCAGGGUGAUCCUGAACUUCCAUUGGAGCCAUGGCUUCCUGCACUUUACCGUAAUGUAGACGAAAAUUCACUGGAAAGUUUGUAUAAUGAAAAAUUUACAUAAGCAAGAUCAAUAAUCGAGCGUGUGUUUGGAAUUUUGAUAAGGCUUUUUCGAUGCCUGCUUGCUGAAAGAGAGCUUCACUAUGUACCAAAAGUUAUUCGAAUUUUGAACGCUUGUUGUGCCCUGCAUACCAAUUGCCUUGCAUACAACGUUGAAGUACGAACAGGUAUUGAAAUUGACGAACAUCGAUAUAAUUUAGCGAUACCCAACAUGGAACAAGACGAGUUUUCGCGAAUGGCGCAAACAAUUCGAGACCGAUUUAAAAUAAGCUUGUGUUCGUAACUAUGCAAAGGAAAUUAAUCUGAUUAAUGACAAAAAAGUAACAAAAGAUUAUAUGGUA